rnacentral:lncRNA from 12 species
AUGACCUUGUGUCCUCACACCUCAGUUGUUGGCUUUGUGAGAGGAGAAGAUGUGACCCAAGAAUACUGUUCCCUGAGCUCUAUAGCUUCACGUGAAAAGAUGAGCUUGCCCAAAUAUUUUUCUCUGUGGUACUCAACAAUGGCUUUGGAAUAGUCUCUUUGUUCUGUGGCCAAUGAAGGUUUCCUACUGAUGGCAGAUGGCAAUUUAUUUUUGAAUUGGCCUGGACAAGAAUACUUUUUUUCUUGGCUAUGGUGAUGAUUUUGGGAAGAUACGCCUCCGCAGAAUGUUAAUUCUGGCAGGUUAGAUUUUUCAUGUAAUCCUAAUUGGAAGAAUCAGGAAAAAUGACUGUAAAUUGUCCAAUAAUACUUCCCAUAGGGGAAAGAUCUACUUGGAAUUGUUGCUAAUGAUGUCGAGCCUCUUCUGUAGCUGAUGACUGUUAUAAAUUCAGACUUCUCUCUUGUGCCCUAUCCUGGUAUAUACGCUUUGAAGACCUUUCUCCCUGUGCUACCACAAAGCCCCUAAACAUUCUUGCAUAGCUGCUAUUUUAUAUUUAUGUUUCCUUGAUGAGUCUCCUGAGCCAAUAACAGCAUCUGCUCCCACAGUUUGCAGGGCAUUAAAGCAAGAGUCCUCUUGGUACUCUAUGAUCUAUGACGGACACUUCUUAUUGACUGCAUUUUAAUUCAGUUCCCUCUUCCCUGCCUCUAAGUAGAGGUGUUUUCUGCAUUGACAGAUAGAUGCCCUCAUCAGCUUUGUUCAUAAGUUCAUAAGAAAAUUAGUUUACAGUCAUGAAAUAAUACACUGCAUUUUCAUUAUUCAGAUUUAUUUCUAUCAAAGAGGAAGAUUUGCUAUUUGCCUGCGAAAGGCUGAAUUGGUUCUGUUCUUUUAGAACACUGAAUAAGACUUUGAUGGUGCCUCCAUGUGUGUUUAUUCAAUUUCAGAUAAGAGGACAUUUAUAUGUUAUGUAGCUUAUGCCACAUAAAAAAGUUUUAGAUAAAACAAUUCUGUAGAUCCAAGCUGUACUUUGAAAUGACCAUGCAUUUUAUAGGCAUUUUAUUUCUGAAGUGACAUUCAUAACCUCAUAUUAAAUGACUUCUCAUGAAGUUAUUUCAUAGCACUGAGGAAAGAAAUCAGAGAAUGAAAUGAUUUAAAUAUA